rnacentral:sRNA from 1 species
UCUCUCUCUCUUCUCUCUCA